rnacentral:rRNA from 1 species
GAGUAAUGCCUAGGAAUCUGCCUGGUAGUGGGGGACAACGUUUCGAAAGGAACGCUAAUACCGCAUACGUCCUACGGGAGAAAGCAGGGGACCUUCGGGCCUUGCGCUAUCAGAUGAGCCUAGGUCGGAUUAGCUAGUUGGUGGGGUAAUGGCUCACCAAGGCGACGAUCCGUAACUGGUCUGAGAGGAUGAUCAGUCACACUGGAACUGAGCCCGUCCAGACUCCUACGGGAGGCGCAGCAUGGGAAUAUUGGACAAUGGGCGAAA